rnacentral:snRNA from 14 species
GAUCGUAUAAAUCUUUCGCCUUUUACUAAAGAUUUCCGUGGAGAGUAACAUUGUGAGUUCAAACGAAUUUUUUGAUACCCUGCCGCGUGCGGGGCU